ACCUGGGUGGCUCAGUCAGUUAAGCAUCUGACUUCAGCUCAGGUCAUAGUCUCACGUCCGUGGGUUCCAGCCCCACAUCAGGCU
rnacentral:tRNA from 1 species